GGUGAAAAGGUGGUGCAAGAGACCACCAGCAUCCACAGCAAUGUGGAUGGCUAGGCAACCUCCACCGGGAGCAAGGCUAAGCAGGGACGAUAGGACAAUCCGUCCGAGGAGGCUGCUCGUCUCCAGACCUCGCCAGAGGUCGCAGUCCCGGGUGAGCCGCUUGAGCCACGCGGCAACGCGUGGCCCAGAUAGAUGACCAUCCAGGCGGUCAAUCCGCUGGACAGAAUGCGGCUUACAGGCUGACCUGGGGC
rnacentral:RNase_P_RNA from 1 species